rnacentral:rRNA from 1 species
UACGAAGGGUGCAAGCGUUACUCGGAAUUACUGGGCGUAAAGCGUGCGUAGGCGGUUUGUUAAGUCUGUCGUGAAAGCCCCGGGCUCAACCUGGGAAUGGCGAUGGAUACUGGCGAGCUAGAGUACGGUAGAGGAGAGUGGAAUUCCCGGUGUAGCAGUGAAAUGCGUAGAGAUCGGGAGGAACAUCAGUUGCGAAGGCGGCUACCUGGACCAGCACUGACACUGAGGCACGAAAGCGUGGGGAGCAAACAGG